GACGAACGCUGGCGGCGUGCUUAACACAUGCAAGUCGAACGGAAAGGCCCUGCUUUUGUGGGGUGCUCGAGUGGCGAACGGGUGAGUAACACGUGAGUAACCUGCCCUUGACUUUGGGAUAACUUCAGGAAACUGGGGCUAAUACCGGAUAGGAGCUCCUGCUGCAUGGUGGGGGUUGGAAAGUUUCGGCGGUUGGGGAUGGACUCGCGGCUUAUCAGCUUGUUGGUGGGGUAGUGGCUUACCAAGGCUUUGACGGGUAGCCGGCCUGAGAGGGUGACCGGCAACAUUGGGACUGAGAUACGGCCCAGACUCCUACGGGAGGCAGAAGUGGGGAAUAUUGCACAAUGGGCGGAAGCCUGAUGCAGCAACGCCGCGUGCGGGAUGACGGCCUUCGGGUUGUACACCGCUUUCGCCUGUGACGAAGCGUGAGUGACGGUAAUGGGUAAAGAAGCACCGGCUAACUACGUG
rnacentral:rRNA from 1 species